CGGCACUGGCAGGGCUGGUGACAGCACCACCCCCGCGCCGCCUGCAAUCUGCCACCGCUGCCACCGAGCCGAGGGGCGCCAGCAAGGCAUCCCCUGGGUCAAGGGGCCUCCCGUGGGCUUUCCAAACAGCCUGUGCUCAUUUCCGCGGGAGCCCUCGGGGCGCUGUGCUGUGGCUGCAUUGUCACUGUUUGUUUAUUUCUACAUCUGCUCUGUUAGAAGAUAGGCUCGCUUAGGACAGAGCCUUCUAAUCCACCCCCUGAUGAAUUCGGGCCCUCGCCUUUGGCACAAUGCCUGGCGUCAUCACAACGCGGGUGAUCAGUAAACGGCAGCGAAGGAAGCGGGGUCAGGACUGGAGAGGAGAGGGGGAGGAAGACAGACGACCGGAGAGGAACAAAAAUGGAAGGCAGUGUUUCAAGAACCCAGCUCCAUUCAUCCUAUGAUGCCACCAUCCUCAGCAUUUGACUUCCAUGGCUCCUAUGAUGUCUCGCUAUGUUGCCCAGGCUGGGCUUGAACUCCGGGACUCAAGGGAUCCUCCCACCUCAGCCUCUUGAGUAGCUGAGAUUACAAAGAGCACAGAAGCUUUCAGGGUGGAGAGUCAGGACAGGUUCUAUGGACAUAUGGAGCUCCCAGGGGGGCUUGUGCAGGACUCAAGGAAAUGUCCAGCUUAACCUGCUGGGCACAACAAUUUUGCUGCUUCAACCCAUCUGCUAUGGAAAAUGAGGAGCCAACAAAAAAGGGAGAAACAGAGGUGAAGGCACCUGAUAAUGAAAGCUUUAAGAAAGGGAAGGGGUUCUUCCUCCCUACUGGACCACAGGCGUGUCUCAGCAUUGGGAAGGGUCCUAGGAUGCAUUGUAAAAGAAAGUCUGUAAUUUUGGUGCAUCAAGGAACAAAAGUGUGGAAACAUCCAGCCUGUGGCUGCUGGACACUCCCCUUCUUCCUUCUCACCAUACUGUCUGUAAUAAAGAAUAAAGUGUUAUUUAAUAUUCUGAGUGUACAGUCCUAUUUUUUCUUAACCUGGCAAACCAGAAACAGCAACUAAUAUUCCUGGUUCUCUUUUUACCUUUCACAAGAUCUAUAUCUACCUUAGAGGCUUCAGGGAACAAG
rnacentral:lncRNA from 1 species